GUGUUAUGAUGAGUUCUUCAAUCAGUUCUGCUUCCGAAGGAGAGACAAUCUCUUGUGGACAACCUUUAUACCAAAAAAAAAAAAUUCCCUGAUCC
rnacentral:snoRNA from 1 species